rnacentral:rRNA from 1 species
UACGGAGGAUGCGAGCGUUAUCCGGAUUUAUUGGGUUUAAAGGGAGCGUAGACGGAGGAUUAAGUCGGUUGUGAAAGUUUGCGGCUCAACCGUAAAAUUGCAGUUGAUACUGGUCCCCUUGAGUGCAGUUGAGGCAGGCGGAAUUCGUGGUGUAGCGGUGAAAUGCUUAGAUAUCACGAAGAACCCCGAUUGCGAAGGCAGCCUGCUAAGCUGUAACUGACGUUGAUGCUCGAAAGUGUGGGUAUCAAACAGG